UCCAUAAGGCUCUUUGCGACGUCCCCUGGAUUUUGGAAAAACUUUGACUGCAAUUCGGAAAGCAGUGGUGUGGAAUAGACCACUAUCCCUGGAAGUUCCGGUGCAUGACUUACAACCAGGAGACUAUGUCUAUGU